UUCGGCUGGACCGGUGACAGGUGCUGCAUGGCUGUCGUCAGCUCGUGUCGUGAGAUGUUGGGUUAAGUCCCGCAACGAGCGCAACCCUCGCCCUUAGUUGCCAUCAUUCAGUUGGGCACUCUAAGGGGACUGCCGGUGAUAAGCCGAGAGGAAGGUGGGGAUGACGUCAAGUCCUCAUGGCCCUUACGGGCUGGGCUACACACGUGCUACAAUGGUGGUGACAGUGGGCAGCGAGACCGCGAGGUCGAGCUAAUCUCCAAAAGCCAUCUCAGUUCGGAUUGCACUCUGCAACUCGAGUGCAUGAAGUUGGAAUCGCUAGUAAUCGUGAAUCAGAAUGUCACGGUGAAUACGUUCCCGGGCCUU
rnacentral:rRNA from 1 species